rnacentral:rRNA from 1 species
AUGCCUCGUCUCGGAGACCCCUCGCUCCGCCCUGCCGAGGGCCACGUCAUUGUCGUCUCCAUGCCGGCAAUGGACGCUCAAGCUGCCAGUCUUGCCAACCUCGCGGCCGUCGUGUGCCUGGGGGGCAACCGCCCGAAGGUUAGCGUCUCCGUCAUCCGAGAUGUUGUCGCUACGGCCGCGGCCGUCGACCGCUCCCUCCUGAAGGUGGUGCCUUUCUACCCAGAAGACUUCCUCGUCAGGUUCGACUACCAGCAUCACCGCGACCUGGCCACAGCUGCACCCGACCGUUUCUCUCACUACAUCUCUGACUUCGGCAACCUGGACAUCCACAUCGCCAAGUGGCGCCUCAACGUGCACGCCCAUGCCGUCCAAGCCGACUACCACGUCCACCUCUGCAUUGAGAAUGUGCCGCUCAAUGCUUGGAAUGAUGCUGUGGCUGCACAAGUGCUUGGGCCGGACACAUUCCUGCACUACUUCGACAUCGCCUCGGUGCAGUGCGAGGAUGCAGCGAAUCUCAACCUGUGGGCUUGGUCGGCUGACCCAAACAAAAUCCCAAAGGUGCAGAAGGUCACAUUCACCUGCAACCAGCUGCCGGCGAGCAGCACCCUAGUACCUGUCGUCGGGCGCAAAGGGCUACCGCGGCGCAUCCUAGUCCAGCUAGAUCUGAUCGAAGACUACACUCCCGAUGCCGACGACGGGGUGCCUUGGUGGUCGCGCUCCCUCCCUCCCUUUGACUGGCGCUAUGGCGUGGUCGAUGGCGAGGCCCGUGCUCGGGACCACCGUGAUGGGGACGCACGACGCGACCACGACGACCGUGACCGACAUGACGACGGCCGUGACAGAGACGAUGAGCAAGAAGGACGCGGCAGACGCGGCGACCGCAGCUCUUCCUCUUGGCGCGGCGACCGCAGCUCUUCUUCUAGGCACGAUGAUGCCGGGACGGCGGCUCACACGACGACCGGUGGUGCGAGGAGCGUGACUCCCGCAGCUGCUAUGAUGACGGCAGGCGAAGAGAUGCCCUAG